UACGUAGGUGGCAAGCGUUGUCCGGAUUUACUGGGCGUAAAGAGCGCGCAGGCGGUCGUCCAAGUCGCGUGUGAAAGCCCCCGGCUCAACUGGGGAGGGUCACGCGAUACUGGUCGACUCGAAGGCAGGAGAGGGUAGUGGAAUUCCCGGUGUAGUGGUGAAAUGCGUAGAUAUCGGGAGGAACACCAGUGGCGAAGGCGACUACCUGCCUGUUCUUGACGCUGAGGCGCGAAAGCUAGGGGAGCAAACGGG
rnacentral:rRNA from 1 species